rfam:Exiguobacterium sp. AT1b, complete genome.
UUUUUAUCGAGAGAGACGGAGGGACUGGCCCUGAGAAGUCUCGGCAGCGGGGAACCUGUGCCAAAUCCAGCGGGCGUAUUGCUCGAAAGAUGAAAA